GCCCAACCAUAACCCAACAAUCAAAUAACCCAUUGUUCGCCAAAUAACUACGAGUAUAAACUUAAAAUUUAAAAGACUUGACGGUACCUCACAACAACCUAGAGGAGCCUGUCUAAUAACCGAUACCCCACGAUUAAACCCAACCCCCCCUAGCCACAGUCUAUAUACCGCCGUCGCCAGCCUACCUUGUAAAAGAAACAAAGUAAGCCCAAUAGUAACACACUAGCACGACAGGUCGAGGUGUAACUUAUGGGUGGGCUAAGAUGGGCUACAUUUUCUAUUACAGAAAAUACGAAUAGACUAUGAAACAAGAAACUGAAGGCGGAUUUAGCAGUAAACUAAGAAUAAAACACCUAGUCGAAACCAACGCAAUGAGGUGCGUACACACCGCCCGUCAUCCCUGCCAACCACCACAAACAAUACAUAAUAUAAUGUUAAACCAUAAAACAGGGCAAGUCGUAACACGGUAAGCGUACUGGAAAGUGCGCUUAGAAA
rnacentral:rRNA from 1 species